rnacentral:sRNA from 10 species
ACCAAGGCCCAUUGGUAGUGGGUUAUCAGAACUAACUUUAGAGUCACUGAAGUUGGUAUACAAUGCCCCACUGCUAAAUUGGUAAA